GCUGGUUUGGCUCAGUGGAUAGAGCGUCAGUCUGUGGACUGAAGGGUCCCAGGUUCAAUUCCUGUCAAGGGCA
rnacentral:tRNA from 1 species